rnacentral:rRNA from 1 species
UCAAAGCAGGCAGAUCCAAUUUUCUGCCACCGAAUACAUUAGCAUGGGAUAAUGGAAUAGGACCCUGUCCUCCUAUUUUCAGUUGGUUUUGGCAGCGCGAGGACUAGGGUAAUGAUUAAUAGGGAUAGUUGGGGGCAUUAAUAUUUAAUUGUCAGAGGUGAAAUUCUUGGAUUUAUGAAAGAUUAACUUCUGCGAAAGCAUCUGCCAAGGAUGUUUUCAUUAAUCAAGAACGAAAGUUAGGGGAUCGAAGACGAUCAGAUACCGUCGUAGUCUUAACCAUAAACGAUGCCGACCAGCGAUUAGGAGACGUUGAAUACAAAACACCACCAUCGGUUGCGCGGUCGUCCUUGGCGUCUCGGUUUCGGCCGGGGCGCGGGGAUGGCUUAGCCCGGUGGCACCGGUGAAUGACUCCCCUAGCAGCUUGUGAGAAA